rnacentral:misc_RNA from 1 species
GUGAAUAGUUAUAAUCAUACCGGUUGAUAAUCAUAAUAUUCUAAUUAUAUACAUAUGUACAAGUGGCUUGUGUAUAAGCAGAAGUAACGAUAAACAUUUGGGUGAAGAAAUAAGUUCCAGUAUAACCGAGCACGAGAAACACAUUUGUUGUGAAAUCUCUAUUUGAUUCAUUAAAAAAUCGGUCAAUAAAUUAAUUUCGAUUCAACAAGGGACUGCAUGCCGAUAUUUUCGUAGCAAAAAGGGAUUAGGUAUUAAAAUGAGUCAACUCCAAAGUUCUAAUUCGGGUGGUCAAUUUAUGGAUCGGGGGCGCAUGAAUCAAAAUGGUGUUGUCCAGCCUCUUUUAACAGAUCUAUAUCAGAUUACGAUGGCAUACGCUUAUUGGAAGUCGGGAAAAACUGAUGACCAAUCGGUAUUUGAUUUGUUCUUUCGAACGAAUCCAUUUCAUGGAGAAUUCACCAUAUUUGCUGGACUGGAGGAAUGUCUAAAAUUUUUAGAUAGUUUCCACUACUCAGAUAGCGAUAUUGACUAUCUGAGGCAGACAUUACCCGAAGGUGUAGAAAAUGAUUUUUUUGAAUACUUAGCCAGUUUGACGGCAAAAGAUGUUACCUUAUACGCCAUCGAUGAGGGUACAGUGGCUUUUCCAAGGGUACCUAUUAUCAAAGUUGAAGGACCUUUGAUAAUUGUGCAGCUUUUGGAAACAACAUUAUUGACGUUGGUGAAUUAUGCGAGUUUAAUGGCAACGAAUGCUGCUCGUUAUCGUAUGGUGGCUGGAAAACAUGUGAAACUUUUAGAAUUCGGCCUACGUCGUGCUCAAGGCCCAGAUGGAGGAUUAUCGGCUUCAAAAUAUUCUUAUACUGGUGGCUUUGAUGGAACAUCUAACGUACUGGCAGGAAAACUAUUCAAUAUACCUGUUAAGGGCACCCAUGCGCAUGCUUAUAUAACGUCAUUUUCUGGAAUUGGAGAGUUAAAAACACGUUUAUUAAGACAUAAGACAACAGGUAUAACUGGUGAUCUAUUGGAUCACGCUGUCCGACAUCGGCAGGCAUUGGCCCAUGUGCUCGACGUAUCCCAGGAGGAGUCUAGUGAAGGCGAAUUGGCGGCAAUGGUGUCCUAUGCAAUAGCGUUUCCCGAUGGAUUCAUGGCGCUAGUCGAUACGUACGAUGUUAAGAGCAAAGUACAAACUUCGAAGUCAAGCAAAGACAAAAGUGUGACAAUCAAUUACGAUAUUCCUAUCAACUUGCCACAAUCUAAUGGCCACAUUCUGCAGGAGACAGUUAAUGGAUAUUUUACCGCAAAUGACGUGCAUGCGAGAAAUGAAAGUCUAGUUGCUUCGAAUGAAAGACCAUGUAUUGGUGCAUUACUGGACCUUAAUGAUGCAGUUGAAUCAAGUACGCACUUAAAUUCAGCCAGUAAACCUAAUAUCAUUUCUAGAAACGCGACAACAGAUAGACAAACUCUAACUUCUUCUGCUCCAAACACGUAUCUGCCAAAAUAUGUCGCGAAGUCAUUCAGAAGCGGGCUUUUAAAUUUCUGUGCUGUUGCAUUGGCGCUCAACGAUUUGGGCUACCAUGCAGUUGGUAUUCGCAUCGACUCCGGAGAUUUGGCUUACUUAUCUUGCUUGGCACGCGAAACUUUCGAAAAGGUCGCCGAAAGGUUUAAGGUGCCAUGGUUCAAUAAGUUAACAAUUGUUGCAUCGAAUGACAUCAAUGAAGACACCAUUCUCAGCUUGAAUGAGCAGGGUCACAAAAUUGAUUGUUUCGGAAUCGGUACUCAUUUAGUAACAUGCCAAAGACAGCCAGCCCUCGGUUGUGUGUACAAGCUAGUUGAAAUAAAUGGACAACCACGCAUUAAAUUGAGCCAAGAUGUCGAAAAGGUCACAAUGCCGGGAAACAAGAACGCUUACAGAUUAUACAGUGCUGAUGGACAUGCACUAAUUGAUUUACUACAGAAGGUUUCGGAGCCGCCUCCAAGUGUUGGUCAAAAAGUUUUGUGCCGUCAUCCCUUCCAGGAGUCAAAGCGGGCUUACGUAAUUCCCUCCCAUGUUGAAUUGUUGUACAAAGUAUAUUGGAAGGACGGCAAAAUUACACAACAGUUGCCCACAUUAGAACAAGUGCGCGAAAAGGUAAAGAUUUCGCUUAAAACCCUGCGGAAUGAUCACAAGCGCACACUCAACCCAACGCCCUAUAAGGUGGCCGUCAGCGACAAUUUAUACAACUUUAUACACGAUUUGUGGCUGCAAAACGCACCGAUUGGCGAACUCUCAUGAUCUAUAUAAUUUUUUAAUUUCCCAAAAGAGUCAUGGUGCAAAUCAUAUGAACAUAAAAUUAGAAAAAAUUCAUCGGAAUUUGACAUAGGCAGCGGUGAAAGCAAAUUACAUUUACAAUUCUCAUUUCAAUACAUUCGUAGAUUUACAUAUAUAUGUAUAUAUGUAUAUGGAAAUCGGAUUGGGAAAAUAUAAGAUUACAGCACAACUUAUCAGGAAUGCGUCUUGUGCCUUAUGUACACAGACCCGGUUAUAUAUAAAUGCAUAUGAAUGUAAAUUCGUUUGCAUGAUUUUUAAGUACAAUUAUUAGUUAUGCAAAUAAGCGUCAUUGUAGGUAUGUACACAAAUGUGUGUAUAAGAGCUUUUUGAUAGAUGUUAGUUGAACAUUAAAAUGUAGAUGAUGUAUUACACUCACAAUGAACCAUACUGAAAUAUUGCAAGUUAAGAAAAAGUGUCGUAAUUAAUAUAAUAUAUUUUAAGAUACCAUUAAAAUAGAUUGUGAAAUUUGCUAAAAAAAGAAGAUAUUUACUUAUUUUCUUGCAAAACGUUAAAUAUGCACAACUUAACCUUCAUUAAACCCUUUAUUGAGUAUAGAAUGCGUAACUAAAAUAGCAUUCCGAAUCAUGUAAGCCACAAUAUAGGCAAUUUCUUAUUAAUGAAAAGAUUUUGUCUCCCUGACGCACCCAAUGUAGUUUAGAUUUAUAAUGUCUGUAAUUGAUUAAGUUACAUAUUAUGACAUUAUCAAAGCGUACAUACUACUAAGGCGCAUUUUGUAUAUUUAAUAUAGUUUGACCGUGUGUUUAAAAUUAAGUAUUGGUUUAUGUUUUUAAAUUAGAAUUAAAAGAUUGGAAACACAAAAAUAAAAUUUGUACAAAAUAAAUCAUCUAAUAUUCAGUUUAUUAUUACGGUGAGAUGAUAUAUGUAAACUGUUUAAAGAGAGAGUUACCUGACUACCAUAUAAACUCGUUAAUGACAAAAAAACGGAAACACAUACAUAUAAUUAUUUUCAAAUUUUUAUUAAUUUAUUGGUUGUAUCAUUGUCUUGUACAUUUCAAAAAUUCAUAUCCUUAUUAAGUAUAUUGUUAUGAAAGAUCUUUUUAAUCUACUCUGAAUCGUUACACAGGAUUGUUCAUCGAUUUAAGUAUGCAUGUAUUUUGUAUAUUAAGUUUUCGUCCGUUUAUUUUCACGUGGGUAUAUAUGUAUGUAUAGUAUAUAAUUCACUACAUAAUAUGAAACUGUUUAACGUUGAAGAUAAAUAAUUUUUAUAUUUUUGUCACUAUUUACUAUUCCGCUUUUAUAUAUAUGUAUGUUCUUAAAUUCUUUAUUGUUUGGUUAUAAUUCUUUGAUUAAUUAUCUGAGUAUUUGUACACUUCUUGCUUUAAAAAUUGUUGUUUAAGGAGUAGUCAUAUAAUGCAAAUUUUAAUGUGGAUACAUUGCCACUCGGCGAUGUUCUCUGUUUUCGUAUUACAACUUAAAAAAUAUGAAUAAAAAUAUUAUUGUUUCCAAUAUAUUUCUUUAUUUUUUAGAA